rnacentral:lncRNA from 1 species
AAUGUGAGAAAAAUGUGAUUCACAAGAAAGCCUGGAGAUUGUCAAACAUUUCCAUGUUUGCCAACUUGAGGAUCCAAUAACAUCUUAGAAUUUAUUAGUUAGCAAAUAUCAAGAGACUUAUAAAACUACACAUCCACAAUCAAGAGACUUGGCUGAUAAUUGAUAAACAGUGGCACUGAUUUUGCAUACCUUAGGUUUUGCAGGUGGGGUCCUGGGCCAGGAGGGUGCUGCUGUGGAGGUGGUGUAGCGGAGGGUGGAGCACUAAAGAAGGCACGGAAGCCUGGUGCUGGGGGAAGCAUCUGCCCAACUCGCCCUUGUAGCAACUUGGGAUUCAUGGCAGCAAGUGGACUACCAACAAAUCCAGGGACCCGUGCAAACUGGCUGGGAGACAUCCGUCCAGGCUGUAGCUACAAAGAGGAAGAAGAUCUUAGAUUUAGACAAUCAGCAAGUCCCCUUGCUUUUGUCUACAGAAAAGUGAAUACGGUUUUCCAUCAAUAACUUUGUUUGAAAAAGUAAAGGCAAAAAUAAAAGUAGUGAUUAACAGCAAAAAAAGGGGCUAUUAUCUAAUGAACUUUAGGAAAGUAGGAGAGUUCUUUAUGGGUAGGGCUAAUCACAGGCUUACCUGUGCUCCUCCAAGAAGCUGUGCUCUCUGGAGGGGGCUGAGAACAGGAGGAACACUAGGAGGAAAAGGGUGACCCAGGAGGGAAGAGUUCUAAGGUAAAAAAAAAAAAAAAAAAAAGAAUAUGCUAUAAAACAGGGGGUACAUCAUAAUAAGGAAACUCAGCAGAAAUGCAGUAUAAACUUGGAUAUAAAAACUCUCAAAUUAUAGAGUCAAGCUCUGGAAUAGAAAAAAAGAGUAAUGCUAGAAAUUAUAAAAACACCAUGACCAUGUGACAUGAAAAAGAAGCAGUAGAACAUGGGACUGAAAUGGUAGAAACCAGAUGAUCACAAUGAGUUUAGAUUUUUAAAGGUAAGAAAAGAGCUGAUGUAAGAAAUAACUGUCCUCUGACCUGGGGACAAUUAGAUCCAGCAAUUUAAGUAAGGAGAUUAUAAAAAAUAGGUAUAAUUUAGGAGAUGUCAGCAAAUCUAAAUACUGGCAGUGAUCUUACAAAUAGUGAUCAGAAAACACAUACUGCACAUUUUUGUUAGGCUUAAAGUGACAUACCGGGACACUGCAGAGCUGGUUUGGAGACAUCCUCUCACCAUAGGGAGCAGGAUAACGAGGUGGCAUUGGGGGCCGAACAUGGACAGGCUUUGGACACAGAAUCUAUCAGGACAAACAUAUAUACAACUACACUCAAUGAAAUCAGUUUUUCUUCCACCUACACUCCCUCCCCUCAAGUACUGGUAGAGACACGAACUCAAUGCAAAGCCCUACUUCUAAGCAAAUUGCUAUGGCUACAGGUUCAAAUACAGAACCUUGGGCCACUUUCUCUCACAAAUCAAGUAAAGUGUCAGCAUUAACUGAGGAAGAUUUAGCUAAUUCUCCAGUUAUCCCCACCCUUCCAUGCUGUCUGAGGGAGAUACCAGCAGAUAUUCUGACUUGCAAAUUCUCUCCAAGAGGAUAUAUUUUGGUAGCACUGAGGGAGAAGGAAUGAUAAGAAAGCUGGAGGAUUAACUAAGUCCUAUUCUGAAGCCCCUGUGAUAUGGCCGCCAUGCUCAGCACUUUUGUGAUACAUUGUGACUCCACCAUUUCAUAGGAUUUGAGCCUAACUAGGCCAUACCAACACCACCCUCCCCCCAUACCUUCCAAAUUGGCCUUCCUUUUCAGCUGCUGGUUUCAGGUGGAGGAAAGUCUAUGGAACAGGACUGCACAGGCUCUAGGGAAAGCAGGGAUAUCUUAAAGGUAAAAAGGGAUGUGGACAAUGCUGUGUGUUCCCACUCCCCCCAGCUUUCAGUUAUCUCUCUGACAAUGUUUUGGGCAGCCAGCAAAACACUUUAAAAAGGAUAUAUGUGAUAAAUGUGGCUAACUACCCUUUUUUCUCCCCCAAUUAAAAGGCAGCAGCAAUAGCAGCAGCAAAGAGUAUCAGGGAAUGUGUCUCUUAUUUGUACUAAUUUCUCCUCUAACUAGCUAUUUUUCUUUCUAAUCUAAUGCCUACCCAAAAUUUCCACCCUCCACCCAACAUCACCAAUUUUCCAAAUAAUUUUGCCCAGAUUCCCAAUAUCCUGGGCUGUGUGCUUGUUAAUGAGAGGUACCUGUUGGGUGAAGCUGGGUACAGCCAUCUGUUUAGGUGGGGUGCCUAUGGGGACAGCUCUAACAGGAGGACUGCCAAUGAUAGGUGAAGUUGACCGCCUUGGUAAUGCACGUUCAGAAAGGUCCCGAUCAUCUUCUGGACCCUGGGGGGGCCUCUGAGGCAAAGCAUAUUCUAAUACAGACACUGUAGGCAUUUCCUAAUUGAGGAAGUGGUAAAAUAAAAUAGAAAUUAACUAACUUGGUAUGUUUUAGUAAUCUCUACAGAUGCCAAAAAUACCUUAAGAAAUUUUUUUAACUUUUUAUUUAUUUUUAAUUCACAUAUAGUAAAAUUCACUUUUUGGUAUAUGGUUCUCUGAGUUUGGUAAGCGGCUCAUGCCUGAAAUCCCAGCGCCUGGAUUACAGGUGCCCACCACCACACCUGGUUAAUUUUUAUGUUUUUAGUAAAGAUGGGGUUUCACCAUGUUGGCCAGGCUGGUCUCGAACUCCUCACCUCAAGUGAUCCACCCGUCUCAGCCUCUCAAAGUGCUGGGAUUACACGGGUGAGCCACCGCGCCUGGCUCAGAUAUGACUUUUUAAGUGAUUCAAAUCAUAAUCAUACACUAACAAAUUUAAAUUCCAAUGGCUCCCUUGCAACCUUUACCCUGGAGGCUAAAGAAAGGCAUAGCUAAGUGCUGGAUGCAGUAGUCGACAUAAUUCUAGCAAAUGAAAGACCUAUAAACCCCUUCAGUAAGGAAAGGAUGACGACAGGAACUUAAAAUUUUUGGAUAUUAUAAAUUUUAUGUAAAGAGAAAAUAUUUAAUACCUGAGCAAGCAGUGGUCCUCGGAUUCGCCUCAGAACUUCAGAUCCAUCCCAGAUACUGGAAUUCAGACUUCCUGGUUGGGGCUAACAAAAAAGGAAAACAUACAGAGUCUGAAAUGCUGUAUACUCUCUGGGUGACUUAUCUGCUGCUGGGGAACAAGGUUCCAAAAGAGCCUCAAGCUGCUUUAGAAUAUGAAAUUAUAGGGCUCCAGAAUAUACAUUAUUCCCCAAGUUUAUCUCUAGAACUGCUAUCAUCAGGAAAUACAUUAUCAAUUUUCUAUGGCAUAUGUAAAUCUCUCAUUAUAAUAGAUAAAAUAAAAUGGCAAAGUUCAAUACUUCACUUUAAUUUUUAGUCUGCUAUAGUUCUCAAAUCACAGUAAUUUACUUACUUGUAAAACUGGCCUGGUCUGCACUGCCCUCAUAAUAGCUGGAUCUUCUAGUUCAUUUUCAAUCACCAUCUUACUGAGCCUUUCUGCCAGAUUCUCCUCAUGGUCACCCAACAAGUCCAUUUCAUCUCUCUCUCCAUUGCCUGUUUGUUCAUUAACUGCCACUGGGAGCUUUUCUUCCAAUUCAGCCAGGCGCUCAUGUGCUUCCUGCCAAUCAUCAUCUAUAAGAUGACACAGUUCAUGUAAGAAAUAGUUCAUAGUGGUACAAAAAAGUUUUACACAAUUAUUCUG